GAUGAACGCUAGCGGCAGGCCUAACACAUGCAAGUCGAGGGAGGAGCUUUCGGGCUUCGACCGGCGUACGGGUGCGUAACGCGUAUACAAUCUGCCUUUCACAUAGGGAUAGCCCGAAGAAAUUUGGAUUAAUACCUAAUGGUAUAUAGAGGUGGCAUCACCUUUAUAUUAAAGCUGAGGCGGUGAAAGAUGGGUAUGCGUUCUAUUAGCUAGUUGGAGAGGUAACGGCUCCCCAAGGCGACGAUAGAUAGGGGUUCUGAGAGGGAUAUCCCCCACACUGGUACUGAGAUACGGACCAGACUCCUACGGGAGGCAGCAGUGAGGAAUAUUGGACAAUGGUCGGAAGACUGAUCCAGCCAUGCCGCGUGCAGGAAGACGGCCUUAUGGGUUGUAAACUGCUUUUGCAGGGGAAGAAUAAGGACUACGCGUAGUUUGAUGACGGUACUCUGCGAAUAAGCAUCGGCUAACUUCGUG
rnacentral:rRNA from 1 species